rnacentral:pre_miRNA from 1 species
UAAAAAAAUUUGGACGCACAUCGGAAAAGUCGCUUGCAUCAAAACCGUCGCACGGUUUUGAUGCAAGCGACUUUUCCGAUGUGCGUCCAAAUUUUUUUAAAU